UGCUAUCGGAUUGAUACUAAGCCAUGCGAGUCAUUGUAGUAAUACAAGGCAGACGGCUCAGUAACGCGUAGUCACCUAACCUAUGGACGGGGAUAAUCUCGGGAAACUGAGCAUAAUACCCGAUAGAACAUUAUACCUGGAAUGGUUUAUGUUCCAAAUGAUUUAUCGCCGUAGGAUGGGACUGCGGCCUAUCAGUUUGUUGGUGAGGUAAUGGCCCACCAAGACUAUUACAGGUACGGGCUCUGAGAGGAGUAGCCCGGAGAUGGGUACUGAGACACGGACCCAGGCCCUAUGGGGCGCAGCAGGCGAGAAAACUUUGCAAUGUGCGAAAGCACGACAAGGUUAAUCCGAGUGGUUUCUGCUAAAGGAACCUUUUGACAGUCCUAGAAACACUGUUGAAUAAGGGGUGGGCAAGUUCUGGUGUCAGCCGCCGCGGUAAAACCAGCACCUCAAGUGGUCAGGAUGAUUAUUGGGCCUAAAGCAUCCGUAGCCGGCUCUGUAAGUUUUCGGUUAAAUCUGUACGCUCAACGUACAGGCUGCCGGGAAUACUGCAGAGCUAGGGAGUGGGAGAGGUAGACGGUACUCGGUAGGAAGGGGGUAAAAUCCUUUGAUCUAUUGAUGACCCCUGUGGCGAAGGCGGGUCUACCAGAACACGUCCGACGGUGAGGGAUGAAAGCUGGGGGAGCAAACCGGAUUAGAUACCCGGGUAGGCCCAGCUGUAAACUAUGCAAACUCG
rnacentral:rRNA from 1 species